rnacentral:rRNA from 1 species
AGAGUUUGAUCAUGGCUCAGGACGAACGCUGGCGGCGCGCCUUACGCAUGCAAGUCGCACGGACCUUCGGGUUAGUGGCGGACGGCUGAGUAACGCGUAGGUAACCUAUCCAGUGGUGGGGGAUAACUCGCUGAAAGGCGAGCUAAUACCGCAUGUGAUCCCGGAGUGAGAUUCUCCGGGAGGAAAGCCGCAAGGCGCCACUUGAGGGGCCUGCGUCCUAUCAGGUAGUUGGUGGGGUAACGGCCUACCAAGCCUGUGACGGGUAGCUGGUCUGAGAGGACGACCAGCCAGAAGGGGACUGAGACACGGCCCCUACUCCUACGGGAGGCAGCAGCGAGGAAUCUUGGGCAAUGGGCGAAAGCCUGACCCAGCGACGCCGCGUGAGGGAUGAAGGCCUUCGGGUCGUAAACCUCUUUUGUGAGGGAAGAAGUUCUGACGGUACCUCACGAAUAAGCCACGGCUAACUACGUGCCAGCAGCCGCGGUAAUACGUAGGUGGCAAGCGUUGUCCGGAUUUACUGGGCGUAAAGGGCUUGUAGGUGGUUCGUUAAGUCCAGUGUGAAAUCUCCCGGCUCAACUGGGAGGGGCCAUCGGAAACUGGCGAGCUAGAGGUGGGCAGAGGAAAGCGGAAUUCCCGGUGUAGCGGUGAAAUGCGUAGAUAUCGGGAGGAACACCAGUGGCGAAGGGCGGCUUUCUGGGCCUAUCCUGACGCUGAGGAGCGAAAGCGUGGGGAGCAAACCGGAUUAGACACCCGGGUAGUCCACGCCCUAAACUGUGGAUGCUAGGUGUGGGGGGUAUCGACCCCCUCUGUGCCGUAGCUAACGCUUUAAGCAUCCCGCCUGGGGAGUACGGCCGCAAGGCUAAAACUCAAAGGAAUUGACGGGGGCCCGCACAAGCGGCGGAGCGUGUGGUUUAAUUCGAUGCAACGCGAAGAACCUUACCAGGGCUUGACAUGCUAGUGGUACGGAUCGGAAACGUGAAGGACCCUUCGGGGAGCUAGCACAGGUGCUGCAUGGCUGUCGUCAGCUCGUGCCGUGAGGUGUUGGGUUAAGUCCCGCAACGAGCGCAACCCUCGCCGUCAGUUAUAUUUCUCUGACGGGACCGCUGGGAUAAACCCAGAGGAAGGUGGGGAUGACGUCAAGUCAGCAUGGCCCUUACGUCCUGGGCUACACACACGCUACAAUGGCCGGUACAAUGGGCUGCCAAGGCGCGAGCCGGAGCUAAUCCCGCAAAGCCGGCCUCAGUUCAGAUUGCAGGCUGCAACUCGCCUGCAUGAAGGCGGAGUCGCUAGUAACCGUAGGUCAGCACACUACGGUGAAUACGUUCCCGGGCCUUGUACACACCGCCCGUCACGUCAUGGAAGCCGGCAGCACCUGAAGCCGUUGAGCCAACGCGUAAGCGGGGCAGGCGCCUAGGGUGAGGCUGGUAACUGGGACGAAGUCGUAACAAGGUAGCCGUAAAGGGCGAAUGGCGUCCGCUACAUC